CCUACGGGUUGCAGCAGUGAGGAAUAUUGGUCAAUGGACGGGAGUCUGAACCAGCCAAGCCGCGUGAAGGAAGACUGCACUGUGGAUUGUAAACUUCUUUUAUAUGGGAAUAAAAUGUUCGACGAGUGGGAUUUUGUGGGUACCAUAUGAAAAAGUAUCGGCUAACUCCGUUCCAGCAGCCGCGGUAAAACGGAGGAUCCGAGAGUUAUCCGGAUUUUUUGGGUUUAAAGGGAGCGGAGGUGGAUUGUUAAGGCAGUUGUGAAAGUUUGCGGCUCAACCCUAAAAGUGCAGUUGAAACUGGCAGGCUGGAGUACAGUAGAGGUGGGCGGAAUGCGCGGUGUAGCGGUGAAAUGCUUAGAUAUCACGAAGAACCCCGAUUGCGAAGGCAGCUCACCGGACUCCAACUGACACUGAGGCUCGAAAGUGUGGGUAUCAAACAGGAUUAGAUACCCGGGUAGUC
rnacentral:rRNA from 1 species